rnacentral:rRNA from 1 species
GACGAACGCUGGCGGCAGGCCUAACACAUGCAAGUCGAGCGAGAAGCUUACCUUCGGGUAAGUGGACAGCGGCGGACGGGUGAGUAACGCGUGGGAAUAUGCCUCAAAGUACGGAAUAGCCUUUGGAAACGAAGAGUAAUACCGUAUAGUCCGGGUAACCGGUAAAGUUUUUCGCUUUGAGAUUAGCCCGCGUCUGAUUAGAUAGUUGGUGAGGUAAUGGCUCACCAAGUCUACGAUCAGUAGCUGUUCUGAGAGGAAGAUCAGCCACACUGGAACUGAGACACGGUCCAGACUCCUACGGGAGGCAGCAGUGGGGAAUAUUGGGCAAUGGGGGAAACCCUGACCCAGCCAUGCCGCGUGAGUGAAGAAGGCCCUAGGGUCGUAAAGCUCUUUCAACUGUGAAGAUGAUGACUGUAGCAGUAGAAGAAACCCCGGCUAACUUCG